UUCAGGAUGACAGAAUAAAUGUAAUAGAUUUAGGAUCUAUAUAUGAGGAUUUAUAUCCUCUCUUGAAA
rnacentral:tRNA from 1 species